AUUAAGAACACCUGCUGCCGGCAAACUAGCAUACCUGCUAACAGCGGCAAGAAGGAUUCUCCACCAAGCCUGCCAACAGUCUGAAAAUGUGGCCUUGAGGAUGAACAUUGGCCUUCAGUCAGAGAUUGACGCCUGCAGCUUGGGACUGCAGUGGUUCAUCACACGGGGUUCACUCGGGCAUCACCGCUUCACAUCGCCAAGGAACAUACAGAGCAGCAGUGAUUGAUUCAAAGUGGAUGGAAUACAAGAGAAGACCGGCUUUCUAUCCUGUUCACCACCAUGGACAUAACCAGAUUGAGGCGGGGGUGUCCAUAGUCACAUGGAUGUCAAGUUCCCUUUCUACAGCCGCACACGCAAGAUACAUUAAAGCCAAAUUAUUUUCCAUUCUGUUUUUUAUUUAUCCAUGUCAACAACAAGGACAGAACAGCCCCAGUUCCUGCAGCAGCAACGCAGACAGAGGGAGAAGACCCAGAUGUUCUGCUCAUGGAUGUGAGCGGCUAAAUAUGACCUGCAAGAGUGAUGUCCACAUAAUUUUUCCAAGGGCACCAUCCAUCGCCAGAGCUACUCGCCUGUCAUUGCACCACACAGACAAUGGCUUCCUGACACUAGAGCUCCUUGUAAAAGAUGUUGCCACCCCUCGAUCUCUGUACAAUGCAGACCCACACAAAUGUGUGCAUGGGAGAACUCACAGUUACUGCGACGUGAACAUAUGAGCACACAGAUACAAGAGAAAGAGAUAACAAAAGAAAGAAGCACAAUCAGAAGCUAUAUCAGUAUCGGUUUUGAUAAAUAAUGUUAGGAAAGGAAUAUACCUGAAAUCCUUUGGAAAAACUGCCUAUUCAGCCACAUUUGCAUCUACCCCAGGGGAACGCUGUGAUCCUUUUCUGUUUGUUCUGUUUUGUGUAGGAUAUAUUCCCCUCAAAAUCAUCAGUUGACCCAUACUGUCUCACUAUAUACUAUACCAGAAAGAUAAAUCAAUGUAUUGAAUUCAACUGAAAUUGAA